GAGGCCUUAAUUAAGUAAUUUUUCUGAAGUAAUUAAAUGACUGUAAAAUCAUCAUAUAGAUAGCAGUGCUGCACCAUAGUUUGAAACCUGACUUUCUCCUCCCCAUCAGGAAAUCAAGAGAAUCUUGGCCACCCCUAUCCCGGCACAGCAGUUAUGUUCCUAGCCAGGGGGUCUCUGUAGGAGUUGCCCCACAGAAGAAUUACACCCGCUGCGCAAGAUGCUUCUUUUGAAAACUGCUCACUCCAUUUGGAGUGGUCUUUUAUACAUUUCUGAAUCUAAAUUAUUUCCCUGGAAGAAACUACACACUGUCCUGGAGCUUCUGAAAUUAAUCACUCAGGUAAACACUUCCUUCUUUUUUGCUGCCAGUUUGGAACAGAAAAAAUUCUGCGUAAAUCUUUCCUCCCUAAUAAAAUCUAGUGCAAAACCUCCGUUCAUCUGAAGGAUUCUACUGCAGCACCCUAUCAGUAUGUGGAGACUGUUUUCAUCCUGAAAAGAUUUUACUGUGCCUUUAUGCUAACUUCAUCAGAAAAAAAGCACCCUCUAAAAUUCAGGGCCAUUUUGGAGAUGCUGCUGUCCUACAUUAACUAAUUUGCUGUUUUAUUGAAACCACAAACUUGUGGGGAACAAUUCUGUGCCAGACCUUUUCAAUGGGCUGGUUGUGCUCAGGUAAGCGCUCAGUACUGCAAAAGUUGCACAAUCCAGCCCUUCACCUUGUGUGAGAAUAUCCUUUUACAAGCUCUAAGAUCAGAAGUGCCUGCAAUAUUUUUACUUCAUUGCAGUUCUCUUUAGCAAUGAAGGACUGUGUGUGUGAGAUGUUUAUUGGGCAAACACCAUGGCUUCAAACUCCUGCAAGUGAAACUGCCUUUAUUGAUUUUCACUGUCCCAGGCAUGCCAAAAGAAAAUACAUACACCAAAUGAGGAUCUUCAGAUGCCAUUUGGGGAUAAAUGUUUACAAAGACAUGACUUACAGACAAAGAAACAUGCUCCUGGCUGAAAAAAAGUUUCCAAGCUUUAUGUUGUCUCUGUAUUUGCUGAUCUGGUUCAGCCAAGGAAAUAGCAGUGAGUGCCUGGCUGGUCAGCCGUGCCUUGGUACCUGGAUCCAGAAUUGGGCAGGGAGCAGACAUAUGGCUGAGGAAGCAGGUCACUCCUUUUGUCUGCUCUGUGUAUUUUGCUGAAGCCUCAAGAGGAGAGCCAGACGGUGAUAUUCAUUCCAGUGGCACUGAGCAGCGGACACUAGCCUGCUGGGAAAAGAUCCAACACCAUCAAUUCAUUUUCAUUUCCCAUGAAUGGUGAGAGUAUUGAUUUAAUCCAAGGGUUAGAAUUGACAACGCCAUAUCCAUGCUUGCUGAUAUAUAGCUUUGCUUUCCUUGUGACUUAGAGCAUUUGGGAAGUGGCUUUAAAUGAACAGCUUUUGUGUCUUCUUCCAGGAAGGAACUGGUGAAGGUUCAUGGAGACAUGGGUGCUCUGGCACAGCCCUCAUGAGGCUGGAUGGAUCCUGGGCAGAUGGGACAUUACUUUGGUUGUUGUGGUCAGCCUACAAAUUUCUUUAAUUUGCUGAAGGAAUCGGGCCUUACAGGGCUAUAGGGCUUCAUAAACAACUUUAAUUUUCUCUUUCCCUAUCCUGACUCAGAUCCUCAGGUGAAGAAGAUGUGAAGCUUUGAUUCAAAACUCCACAUCCUACAGUUGAUGUCUUAGGUGACCGUGUCCCACAUUUAACAGCAAGUUAAUUUGGUUUCUGUAUUUUAAAAAAAUACAUGGAGGUCUCCGACCUUUUCACUUGAGUUAAACAUAUAUGCAAAGGCAGUGGAGGGUGGUGUUGCAGUGCUGCCUUUAAUUUGGCUGGUCUGACCAGCAGUGUCAUGGAUGUCAGCAAGAGGUCUUGAGACUCUCGACUUCAAAUGUUUGUAAAAAUACCUUUCCUAAUGUUGCUGGCACAGCCCUGACUGCACACACAGGAACCCCACCUUCAGUUGCUGGUAGGUGGCUCUGAUUCCCUAUGCUUUUCGUGCCAAGGGAUUUUGCAAUUUUUUUUGUGUAACUUGGAUGGAAAAUGGUAUUUCAGUGUUUUUUCUGUGACUGCUGCUUUUACUCUCCUUCCCCUGAUAUAUAUCUUGGAGAGUUUAUACAUCUUAAUGAAAUUAUGCAAAGGGGAGGUGGUGCCCAGAGGAAAGGAGAAAGUGGAAAAAUUAUAUAAGCUUCCAGAAAUAACAUGGAAACCAAUUUUUUUCUGUAGUACUGAAAUCCUGUUCUAGAUGACUAAAUUAAAAGUGUUUGUAGUAAUACACUGAAGAGACAAUGUAAGUGUACAAGUGUCUGCUAGGAACACCCACCUGAAUGGGAUUCCACCUGUACAAGCACUGCCACCAGAGAGUUUUGCUGGCAUAGCUGGGGGUUUUUUAGGGGACAGGCACUGGGAUGGCCCCUUUCAAAUGCCAUCUGAUGAAUCACAGUUUUCUGAGGUGGUUGUGGAGCAAUCUUUGGCUCCGCACAUGAAUUCCACUGAACAAGAGCAACGCAGGAAAAAUUUCUUGUACAUCAUACGAGGCUAAAGCUGGAGCCAGUCUAGCCCAUGUCUGUUCCCAGGGCAGCCAACUUACACGUGGUCUCUGACCCGCACCUAGCUGGAACUGGCUUUUGUAUGCAUGUGUGAGCUGGGCAACCAGAGUGCUUGGUGCCAGUGUGAGGCUUUGCCUCCAGUAUAUCCUUUUCCAAAGCCUGGUAUUUUGCGUGCAGGAAUGUGGCAGGGGGCAAGGCAAGCUGAUUGCUUUGUGGAAUGUUAGUCCUGGUGGCCUGGGUCUCUGGGCCUAACAUUAUGCUAGAUGUAUAUGUUUGCAUUUAUUAUUGCCUCUCAUGAAAAAUACAUAAGUAGAUAUCUCUCACUCUGUAGCUUUCUGUUAGUUUGCCUGUAGUUGUUGUAGUCAUAACUGGGAAGGGACAAGGAAAAAGGGAGAGGUGUAUCUCAGCCACAGGGCAGAUCUGGGUCAGAGCCCAGAAUAAACUCAGUUCACCAGUACCCAUAGCUCGAGGUAACUGGGCUGGGUGGAAAUUGUUGACAGGAGGGGGAAAUGUAUGCAUUUCCUUUUUGUUUGAAUCGUGAUUUGCCCUUUCUGUCCCAGAUUGCAUAACAUACAUCACUUAGAAGGUUAAAAUACAAGUCUUCGUGACUCACUCCCAGAGCUACCUAAAAUACUUUUGGGAUUUGUGCAGUGGUGAAGGGGGUGAAUCUAAUAACCUUGUAGAAGUUGAGGUUACAUGUCCCUUGGUAGCAAAAAAAGGUGAAAAAAACCUGCCUUUGAAUCCCCCAUCACCACAAUACUCACUCCUGCCCUUUCUCAGAAGUUCCUUUCAGGAGAGCUGAUUCAGCUGUUUGUGUGGCUGCACAUAAACUGGAUGAAAGAAUGAGAUUUUGAAAAGCCCUCAAAAAGGGAGGGGUUGUGAACCUGUGCAGAAAACACAUGUUGUGCAUCCAUAUUAAGAUCUAUAGUUGUGCUUAGAUGAGGUUAUCUGCACUUAAAGUGCUUCUGGAUUGGGACCACAGAUGAUGAGGCUUGCUGGAAUCACGUGCCCAAGAAGUAUAUGACCUUGGAGCACAGAGCUGAGUGAAAGCCAUGUUUCACUAGGAUUUUUGAGAGGCAGCCAGCACUGUUUUCAAAGUGCUCUCAAGUAUUGUGGAGGAAAUGUUGACAGAUACUGCAAUACUCACACUGAUGAAUAUGCUCAGGCUGCACUGAGCAUCUCUACAUUUGUGCCAGGACUUGAGACCCAGCAUAACAAGUGCAAUACAAGAGGAGGAGGAAGGAAAAGCUGAUAGUGGGCAGAUGCUUUCUGUCAUUUUCUGGAUGAGCUGCUUUGGCCUCAGCGGAAGAAGCUGUCCCCAGGCAGGCAGAGCUGCUCUGUGGAGCGGAGCAGGCAGAGUUACCAGGGCACAAGUCAUUUUUCAGACCACAGAGUGAAGUUUCUUUCCCAGGGCAGAGCUGGGGGCAUCACUGUCAAGGCACGAAUCUCCCUGAUACCCUGGAGCUGCUGCCCUGAUGGCUGACACAUGUGGGAGGGUGUGGGGGGUGGCACAGCACCCACCUUUUGCAGUUACUAAGCUUACGUGGUCUCCAGACCAAGGCUCCAAAGUGAGUUUACCAGCACAAUUAUUGAGCUAACAGAGUGUGUAAUCAUCAGAUGUUUCACAGAAAUCAGAAUGUUUGGAGGCUCCUCAUUGCAGAUUAAGUCAAAGCACAACAAGUGGAAAGCACAGAGAAUAAUUAUUUUCAGCAUUAAAUUUUCAGAUCACACUACAUGCAAAAACUUGAUUCAGAAACAUGUGCAGCAUAUGUAGGUUUUAUGAGCCUUGAACAGUAAAGAGUUUGCUGAAAUUUCUAUCAUUCUUGAAGUGCAUGGGAAGUAGCAUGCAUGCAGUGAGAAAGAAGCUGUAUCUGUUUUCUUCUCUUACACAUUUUAAAGGGUUUUGUAUAUGUUCCUUGUUUUCAUAAAACUAUGCAGUGAUUCCCCUAUAAAAUGUCAGUAACCUGGAAACAAACUGUGACAUGAAAGUUUGACUGUGUUCCAUGAUGUACACAUUGUAUCAUAAACACAACAAAAACACAUGGCAAUUUUCCCUUCCUGCACAUUGGGAAAAUUUCUUCUGCAGACUAGCUUCUUCAGUAAUACUCACCAACAUAGCACAACUUAAGGAACAAAAUGCUGAGCACUCUCAUGGCAGGAUAUAUUGGGCCACGUGGAAAUUUUUCCUGGAAUGAACUACUUUGGAAACACAGAAAAAAAUAUGUGAAAUGUUAUGUCAAAUCAUAUGUUGACAUUCUGGUGAUUCUGUCACGAGUCUUGUAACAGGGUUUGCUGUACACCUCUGCAGUUUGAUUCUAGAGAGCCUGGAAACCUGAGCUAUAAGUAACAAUAAAAACAAUAAAUUAAAAAUGAGAAAAAUAUUGCUCAAUCACACUGAAAAGUGUAAAAAUAAAGCACAAGAGCAAAGACUCAGAAAAAGUGGCCUCCAAGUGCAAAUAUAUAUACCCUCAACCUUUUUUUUUUCCUCCUCUCUUUUUAAACUUAUUUUCAAACUCUGUGUGACUUCACGGCAGUUUUGAGGCAGAAGGCACAGGAGCAUGGGCAGCCUCAUACCUCUGUGACCAGAUCCUGUAGGAAACCCAUAUCCAAGCUUACUGCAGCAUGAAAGAAAAGGAGGCAUGCCCUCUUCUACCCAUUUCCCUACAAAAGCAGUAACAAAUACUUUACCAUGUCCCACUAACUGUACAGAGAGAAAAUGUCAGAGUGUACACAGCAGCCUGCUGUAUGUUUUCUUCUGCUUCUGUGGCAGGGAUGAGUUUUCUGUUUCUGAAGAACCCCCCUCAUGGUGUAUUGCCUGGAGUAGGUCCCUUCCCAUCUGGGGUGCUCCUCUUCAGACUUCUCUUUUUCUUUCUGUAGCAAGCCCAAGGACUUGUCUCUACAAACCAUAGCCAUAAGAGGACUAGAGACCAAGAUCUUUGGUCUUAGAACCACAGAAUCAUUAGGGUUGCAAGGGACCUCUGGAGAUCAUCUAGUCCAACCCCCUGCCUGCCUAGUGUGGGAAUUAGAGCCUGGAAAAACUUUUAAAGCGAGCAGGUUAUACAGGAAUGUGUCCACGUGGGUUUGGAAUGUCUCCAGAGAGGGAGACUCCAUGACCUCCCUGGGCAGCCUGUUCUAUCCCUCUGCCACCCUCAAAAUAAAGAAGUUCUUAAUGUUGAGGUGGAACUGCUUGUGAAGUCUUCAGCCACCUGAGCUGUAUUUUUUCCCUAGAAGGUGCUUUUUCACAACCUCUCGUUUGGCUUUCUUGUCUUCAGUCAGAGUAACAGAAUUCUAGUUAAUGGUGGCUUUUAUUUUAAAGGGAAAGAGCAAUGCAAGGAAAGUAAAGUACUUCACUGAUAAUUUAGUGAUUACUAGAAAGUUGCUCUGCAAAGAUAAUUUCUGUGUCAUAAUGAAGCUGAUAUCUUCUCUCUAUAUCCAACCAACCAGCUACUGGCAAUCAUGCCAAAAACCAAACCAAAACCCGAAAUGGGUUUUCUAUUACCUGUACUUCAGUGUUCUACUGUGACCCAAGAGUUAUGGCAAUGGCUCUCUUUGGCAAGUACCCACUGCUUCUUGUGGGAUGCUACCGAAGCUCCAGCAGGGCCACAGCAGGAUGCAAGCUCCAGCAGGUUUGUGCUAUGGCAUAUCUGAAAGCUUCUAGUCUUUUCUGUAAAGAGCUAUAUGAAGAAGUUUGUUAAGUUUGGUUGACUUUUGAUCUAUAUUCUAAGUGGGUUUUUUCCCUGUAGUAAAGGAUAACGUGAUUAGUGUGUUUCUGUAUUAGGAUGCUUCCACUCCCUCCUUUUGAAUUUUAGGGCAUCUUUUAUGCUUGUAUUCUCAAUAUAUACCUACAGAGGCCAUAAUAUUUGACCUUUGGAAAUCCCAUGUUAUGGCUCUGAUUUAUGCUGUGAUGACAGACAUAAGAGCCCACUGAAAUCAGUGUGGCUCUGGAUGGUUACCAUGGUUCUUCUCUGAGCCUCAGAUGGAAGGAUCUGCUUCUAUGUUAAUAUCUAAGAAGAAACAAAGGGAAUUGGAAUUCAUGGUUUAUAAAGAAUCAAUGUAAUUUUCAUGUUCCUACCUCACUCCCCAUCAUCCUAAAAUGCAAAGAAAGCUAAAUGUCAAGUGUUAGUGGAGAUGUAUGUUAAAAAUUAAAAUAUAUAUUUUUUUCCACUGCUGUGAAUACUGUUUUAAUGGCACUGGAGAGAUGUGCUGUUGCAGACAGGUGCUCCUGUAGAUUUAAAUACUAUGUCAAUCACACCUACUAUGUCAAUCACAGGGUUAAGAGGCAGACAGCUUUCAUCAAAGGCCAGACGAACCCCUCCCAAUUUAGAUCAACUCCACUGCAAUUAAACAGUGUUAGUGUUAGGCCUUCACAAUUGUCAGUACCUGGUUGUUACCCACUGUUAGCAGCAGUUGAUAGUUAUUCUACAGAAUUUCUUUAGGUUUUAAAAAAUGCUUUAAAUGAAAACAUAGAGGAAAACACAGCACUUGGAAAAACGAGGAGAGGGUGUGGGUAGUUACAGUACUGAACUGCAGAAGAGCUGUAUUUCAUAGUAACUGUGCUGCUGUUUGUUCUUGGAAAAAUCACUUAUUGUUCUCUUAUCCCUGUACUGCUCUGAAGAAUCUACAAAAGAAACCAUUAAGAAAACAAAUUCAAGGAAGCAGUGGAACGUGAAUUCAAGAGCAGAAUGUGAUUGCACAAGGAGAUUCUACACCGAACUGAAACAUUCAUGCUUUGGAUCAUUGAGAACAAAUGAAGUACAAUACCGGUCUGUUCCCUUUCUAUUCUUAUGUCUCCGUUUUGUUUUACUUUCCUUAGCUUAGAUUUUUUUUCCUUUUUGGAGUCCUGCAGGGAGGAAAAAGGAGCCUUUGUUUUAAAAAGUCUGAGACCAACAGUGGCCCAUUGAUCAUAAUUAAGUCUAAAAUAAUACGCUUUUGCUGACCUGUUUGUAUUGAAUCCAAAAAAUUUUAUGUUAUACCUGCUGUAGUCUUGGUCUGCCCCCAGAUUCAGUUGCUUGUUCCUGAGCUUCUGGUUCUGGGGCAAUAGCUUUAAAAGCCUAAAUAAACCUGUGUGUUUUCAGGGCUGCAUGUUCUGUAUAAGAACAAAUCGAUCAUAAUCAGAUGUUGUCUUUGUCAUGUACUCUCUUUUCUUUGACAGACAGCUGUCCCCAUAACAACCAUCUCUGUUGUCAAUAACUUCCUCAGAUCAUGAAAUGGCACACAGGAUGGCGGUAGUUCUCAUAGUAACACUGGGAGGUUGCAUAAAAAUUUUAAGUAAUCUUGCCGUGAUGUGCUUGGACCCAAUUCAGAGCUUCCUGAAGUCUGUAUGAAACUCUGCUGAUUUCAACAACCAUUCAUCUCUUCAGGGGCUGCUUCUGACCUUUUGAAUUCAGGUUUUUAACAUGACAAACUACAGAGGCUUAACCCUGUGGCUCUUGGUAGUCUAGUAUGCUCUAAUGAGUCAAUAUGCUUAGUUGUAGAACAAAUAUGCUUCAGGAAAAUAGUGGAGAGAUUCACAAAAAAUAUGUCUUGGCAUCAUUAUCCUAUGAAUGGGGAGUGUUCGGUGCCUUGGACAUGCUUCUAUCUGUUCUCAGCCUGGGUCUUUACAGACACCCACAACACACACGCAGGCAUAGUCCCAUCCAGCUCCUAAGAAUGCAUGCUCAGGAUAAAAGCCCUUCAAGGGUCACCCAAUACCUGUCUCCCAGACUGCUCAUUUGACUCACCAGCUGGUCUGGUUUGGAGUUCAUUACCAGAUCAGAUGCACAGACAUAGAAUAGAGAACACAAUCACACGGAAGGUAGUUAAAAACGGAAUUUAAAAAGAGGAUAGGACAGACAGUGGCAAUUAGCCAUGGGGCUCAGUCACACAAACAUACUGCCCAGCAGCCUGCUUACAUGCAGAUGGCCUUUUUUUAUAUCCUUGCUCCAACACACCUCAAUCUUUUUAGCUCUUCCCUGAUCUGCCUUUGUGCCUCCCUUCCUUGUCUUUGGCCUUUUCCCUAAACAUCUUAUAAUAAUCCUGUAUCAUUGUAAUAGUCUCCUAAUCAAUCACAGUGUUUCCCUCUCAGACACUUUCUUGUAAAUCCUGCUCUCCUUUAUGCAAUAGUCCCCUUAGGUUGUACAGCCUACCAGAGAGUUUCGAUUGUUGAAUUUCUCAGUAGGUUUUGCAUCAGGGAAACAGCUUUGGUAGUCUUAGGGACAAUUGACUCAGAUGAACCCAGUUUUCUGGAUUUUUGUGUUUAUUUUGAAUAACCAUUAGCUACACUGAUCACAAAUCUAUCUAUUCUGCAUUAUUUACUCCCUUCAGAGCUGCUUAUUCAAUACCAUUAUCAUUAAAAAUCUCAUUUGGCCCAACCAGAUGAAUCGGAAUAGGGUGAGAAUCCACUUAGUGCAUUCCACAGCAACCCACCCUGCAGCAUGCAUUGAGUCCUCAAGCAGAGAUUAUACUUUACAGUUUUGACUGCUGUGUUUUUUAGGGCAUCUGAGAACACAGGCUUGGUACUGACUUGCUACUGAGGAUAGCCUUCGGAUUCUGUACAGUUCGAAGGUGAGCAGGGAAGAAUGUAAGGUGGUGAGACCAGCCUGGGCUCACUGCCAGGGAACCAUGCGGCCUGCGGCAGGGACACAACCUGGUAGGUGGAUGAAGACAACCAACGGGCUGCACCAGAAAGUGAAGAUUGCCUUUUAAGAAAGAAAAGAGCGAGGCCUAGCAUGGGAGGAGCGAGGGAGUGGUUGUGCAAAUCGAAGGGUCUUAAAGGGGCUCGUCCCUCCCAGUCAGGUGUGCUCAAACCUGGUCAUGAGUUUGAUGCAGCCAGCGCGCUGUUAAUAAAGUUCUUUGUUUCACUUUA